UUCAACAGGGGUGAAAUCUGUAUACACUAUGAAUUUUUUGAUUAAAGUACCUUUUAGGUGGUCAAAUGACUAGGAUUAGAUACCCUAUUAGUCCACUCUUAAUUAACCUGGGUAGUAGUAUUGAAACCUAAAGAAUUUGGCGGUUUCUAAACCUACUAGAGGAACCUGCCCCAUAAACGACAAUCCACGAAAAAAUUCACCCGGGCUAGUUAUGCAGCUUAUAUACCGUCGUUCAGAGGACUAAAUAAAUAGAUCCUCUUAAAAGCUUAGGCUAAUAAAUCAGAUCAAGGUGUAGCUUAUGCCCGGGAGAGGGUGGGUUACAAUGAAAAUUCAUACGGAACUUCUAUUUUAUGAUAGAAAAGAAGGUGGAUUUAGAAGUAAGACUUAAUACACUGAAAAAGGCUCUCAGAAAUGUACAC
rnacentral:rRNA from 1 species